UCCUACGGGGGGCUGCAGGCGCGAAAACUUUACAAUGCGAGAAAUCGUGAUAAGGGAACCCCGAGUGCCCGUAAAUUCGGGCUGUCCAUCAGUGUAAAUAACUGGUGAAGAAAGGGCCGGGCAAGACCGGUGCCAGCCGCCGCGGUAAUACCGGCGGCUCGAGUGGUGGCCACUAUUACUGGGCUUAAAGCGUCCGUAGCUGGAUUGUGAAGUCUCUUGGGAAAUCCACCGGCUCAACCGAUGGGCGUUCAGGAGAAACUGGCAAGCUAGGGACCGGGAGAGGUGAGAGGUACUCCAGGGGUAGGAGUGAAAUCCUGUAAUCCUUGGGGGACCACCUGUGGCGAAGGCGUCUCACUAGAACGGCUCCGACAGUGAGGGACGAAAGCUGGGGGAGCAAACCGGAUUAGAUACCCGGGUAGUCCC
rnacentral:rRNA from 1 species